rnacentral:rRNA from 1 species
UACGAAGGGGGCUAGCGUUGUUCGGAAUUACUGGGCGUAAAGCGCGCGUAGGCGGCGACCUUUGUCAGAGGUGAAAUCCCGAGGCUCAACUUCGGAAUUGCCUUUGAAACGGGGUUGCGUUGAGUCCGAGACGAGGAUGGCGGGAAUUCCGUAAGUCGUAGAGGUGAAAUUCGAUUAGAUAUUAGGAAGAACACCGGUGGCGAAGGCGGCGAUCUGGACAGUGACUGACGCUGAGACGCGAAAGCGUGGGGAGCAAACAGG